AAAAAGCACAGACACACGGUCAAUGGCGCCAGCACAACCAGCGCCUUGUGCCAUGCAGCAGGGGGCGGUAUAACGGUCCUCUUCCAUGCCGAGUCUCUCUUUACUAUAAUAGGAUGCAUUUAUCAAGAACGAAGGAACCGGGUAUCAACAUGGCACUGCUUUAAUUGGAAGGGGGGGGGGGGUUGGGUAUGUACCAGUUGCUGAGUGCCAGGGGCGCCAACAAGCACCUCUCCUUUGCCUAGGGUGUUUAGAUACAGGACCAGGCCAGCAAAUGGAAUCUUGCCCCAAGUGAUGAGAAGCCGAGCUGAUGGUUUAAUGAUGGCAUACAAGCAGCGCCCGGACUUAGUCUACAGAGAAAUCAUAUAGGGGACGAGUAUCUGCAAUACAAAAUGUAUGCAAACUGCAGAGCGCACCCCGCCUGUACCACGGCCACCGCAAAUAUGUGCGCCCCCAUAAAACCUUCCAACCAAAUGAGAGUCUUACAUGUUACCGGAAGAAGAGACAAACCCCAAGGGAAGAGCAAGAAGCAUUAACAUCAUACAUAAUGGGGCACGUGGCGGAGCAGAGAGAGAGAGUACAGCCGGU